GUGUCAGGGGCGGGGUGAGGGGACAGGUGGUGGUGGUGGUGGUGGUGUCCCUGCGCGCGCUGUCUCUUUAAGGUUGGUCUCGUACCGCGCGCUGUCUCCGCACGCUGAGCUCGUGCGCCUCGCGUCUUAAUUACAGCGCGGAGCUCGCGCACAGCAGGUGCAUCCCGCAUCUCUAUCAGCCACGUUCACGCAGGCAGCUGAAAUGGACCAGAAAGUCAAUUUGUCGAGCUUCGUUAUGUUAUUUUCACCAGUAUCUGCCUGCAUGUAGCUUAAGACCCAGGGCUCCGUCAUAGUUUGAAUACUGAUCUGUCUGUGUGCGGUUUACUGAACCCGCAAGAGUAGUUCAAGCAACAUGCGCUUUAAUUCAAAUGCGACAGGUUUUUCUCAAUGCGGCUCGUUCUUUUGUUGCAUGCGCACUUCCUAACUAUGGGACUUCUAUGCGUUUUCAGUGACUGCUCACGCGCUUAUUCUGCAAACACCACGCAAAGAUCACUGUUUUGCUAUAAUAAUCGAUCCAAACCCACCAGACGAGCGGGACAAUGGCGUUGCGGGUCAGAGAAAGCGUCCUGCUGAUUUUCAUUCACAUCUGCCUAUGCACUGGCUUUCGGUUGCGUCUGGAGGACAGUCCGCCUCGGAUCAUAGAAGACCCAUCUGAUCUGAUUGUGUCUAAAGGAGAACCAGCUACACUGAACUGCAAAGCUGAGGGGCGGCCUAUGCCGAAUGUGGAGUGGUACAAAGAUGGAGAACAUGUAGAGACAGAUAAAGAUGACCCGCGUUCACACCGCAUGCUGUUGCCCAGCGGCUCGCUCUUCUUCCUGCGGAUUGUGCAUGGCCGCCGCAGCAAGCCUGACGAAGGCAUCUACACCUGUGUGGCCCGUAACUACCUCGGGGAGGCAGUGAGUCGCAACGCCUCGUUGGAGGUGGCCACGCUGAGAGAUGAUUUCCGCCAGGCCCCGAGUGAUGUGGUGGUUGCUGCCGGUGAACCUGCCGUGCUGGAGUGCAUCCCACCACGCGGUCACCCAGAGCCCAGCAUCUACUGGAAGAGGAACAACGUCCGAGUGAGCGACAAAGACAGCAGGAUCUCUAUGCGUGGUGGCAAGCUGAUGAUCUCACACACUCGGAAAAGUGACGCAGGCAUGUACGUGUGCGUCGGCUCCAACAUGGUGGGAGAGAGGGACAGCGAUCCGGCCGAGCUGGUGGUUUUCGAGAGACCAGUGUUCAUCCGUAGGCCUGUGAAUCAAAUAGUGCUGACAGAGGAAACAGUUGAUUUCCUGUGCGAGGUCCAUGGAGAUCCGGCUCCCACCAUCCGCUGGAGACGCGAAGGGGGAGAGCUGCCUCGCGCCAGAUUUGAGAUCCGCAGUGACAACACUCUCCGUCUGGUGAAGGUGCGAGAGGAGGACGAGGGAACUUACACAUGUGUGACAGAAAACAGCGUGGGGAGAACCGAGGCUUCGGCAACGCUGCAAGUCCACGUCCCUCCACAGAUUGUCCUCCAGCCCCAGGACCAGGUCUCAGCCCAAGGCCAGACUGUCACAUUCCACUGUGGCACAAAAGGCAACCCUCCUCCAGCAGUUUUCUGGCAGAAAGAAGGGAAUCAGAUGCUGCUAUUCCCAGGGCAGCCUCCCUCUCAGGCUGGACGCUACUCUGUGUCUAUGAGCGGUGAGCUAAUCAUCACUGCUGUCCAAAGUGAAGAUUCUGGGUACUACAUAUGCCAAGCCAUCAGCGUGGCAGGCAGUACUGUCUCCAAAGCCUUCCUGAAGGUAGUCACUGGGCCCUCAGAUCGCAUUCCCCCAAUCAUCCACCAAGGCCCAGGUAACCAGACGCUGACACGGGGCUCCAGUGCCAAGCUCCAGUGCCAUGUAAUGGGCAUCCCACCCCCCAGCAUCAGGUGGGAGAAGGACGGGCAGAGACUCUCAGCAGAUGGAGUCCACAUCAAUCUGAUUGAAAAUGGCACUUUACACAUCAGCAGCCUGCAGGAGACCGACUCAGGGAUGUACACGUGUGUAGCCUCCAGUUCCACAGGAGAGACGAGGUGGAGUGGCACCAUCACUGUGAGAGAUACAGAGACGUCAUCCCUGGUCCGGCUCUCUCAGACCCUGCAGCUGCCUGGUCCCCCACUGAAGCCUGCCGUGACGGACGUGAGCCAGAGCAGCGUCACGCUGACGUGGCAGCCCAACCAGCAUGAAGGAGGCGCUGCUGUCACCUCCUACAUUAUCGAAGCUUUUAGUCAGUCAGUGGGAAACACAUGGCAGACUGUUGCAGAUCAAGUGAAGCAGGAGAAGCACACAGUGUCUGGUCUCUUCCCAAACACUGUGUACCUUUUCAUUGUGCGUGCAGUGAACUCGUAUGGCCUGAGUGACCCAAGCCCCAUCUCAGAGCCUGUCAGAACACAAGGCAAUCUUCCUGCAAAGAUCACACUAGAUGGCAGUCCCAGCAGUUCACCAAUCGAUCUCAGGCGUGUACAAGCGGAUUUAGCAGAGGUCACGGUGUAUGUGCAUCCUCCAGAGAUCCUGACUCCUACAAGCAUACAGAUCACAUGGACUGUUGAGCGUGAGCCGUACUACAUUCAGGGUUACAGGCUGCUGUACAGGCCGUCGGGCGGUGCCUGGCUGGUUCAGGACAUAAAGGCAGCGUCCAAACACACAGCAGUGUUAUCAGAGCUGCACAGAGGCAGAGAGUAUGAGCUCAAAUUGAGGCCCUACUUCAAAGAGUUCCAGGGCUCUGACAGUGAGCUAGUAGUGUUUCGCACCCCAGAGGAGGUGCUAUGUGGCCCCCCACAGGCUGUCAAUGUGGUCCAGUUGGAUAACAGCUCCACAGUGCGAGUGUCCUGGGAGCCUCCUUUUGCUGAUAUCCAGGAUGAGCCCAUUUUGGAGUACAGGGUGUGGUGUGUAGGGAAUGUGUCUGGACUUCAGAUGCAGUUAAACCAAAGCGUGACCGGGGAAGUCCUCCACGUGCUGGUGGAUGACCUGGUGCCUGAGAUACUGUAUAGCAUGCAGGUGGUUGCAGUGACCAGUGCAGGAGCUGGAGAACCCAGCGAGCCAGUAUUUAUUCUCAUCACCCCUGUAGGGGAGCCCUCAUUGCCUGUGCUGAAUGAUGACAGCAGCAGUCUUUCGGAGCACAUCUCGGCACUGUUCAGACAACCAGCUUUUAUUGCCACUCUGGGUUCAGCCUGCUGGAUGGUGCUGAUGGGCUUCAGUGCCUGGAUCUACUGCAGACACAAGAGAAGGAAAGAGCUCGGCCACUAUGCCACUUCUUUUGCCUACACACCUGCAGUUGGCCUCUCCAAUGGUGACGGAUCAGGACUCGGAAGGCCAUGCUUGCUUGGAUCCAACAUGGCUAACUAUCCCUGGCUGGCAGAUUCAUGGCCGAACAACAACUUCAACCAGAGCAGUAAAGACUCAAUGAACUGCUGCACUGGCAAACACGACUCCACAGACAGAUAUUACAACACUGCAGGGACAAACUUCCUGAGGCCGAACCAAGCAUGCAGCCCAACAUCCAACGAAGGCGCCAUUUACAGCACUAUAGACAGAGCUAACGAGUCACAGCAUGACAUGAGUAGUGUUUACUCUCAUGACCUCUACACCAGCUCACCAGUCCUGUCCAAACCUGACCUCGACCAGUGGAGCUUACAGUCUGACCUCAGCACAGCUGAAUAUGCCCAACUCCAGUACCCAAGGACGGACAAUGCUAAUGUGGAAAUGCAGAAGCCUUGUGAGUCAGCGACGUAUAACUGGUCCAAUGUUCUGUCCCUGCCACCGCCAAAUACUCGAGAACAGAGACAGCAGCCCAGGUGUGAGAAUGAUGAAGACUGGUGUGCUCCUCUGCCGGAGAGGACUUAUCGGAUGGAAGGUUUGGAGAACGCAGCCACGUUGCCUUUGAGAGGAGAGCGCUGUGGGCGAGCUACCACCUACAGCCAGCCGUUCACAGCUACCCUAAAUCUAUCUCCUAAUGAGGAACGAAUGCCAGUUAAUCCAUGUUUGCGGCAUCCUGACUUACUGCUACGCAUUAAGGGACCAUGCGCACCAAAUUCCAAAUUAACUCCGCCCAACCCAAACCUUCUCACCAACCUGGAAUCACACAACAGCAGUCUGCCCCGUCUGCCAGGCCACUGGAGAGACAUCUGUCAAGCAGACAGGUCUCAGCACUUAAAAGGUGACGUUGCUUUAUUUGUGCAUGAGAAAUCAAUUCCAUCCCCCACUGAGCAGCCACGGUCCAAAAAGACAUCAUCCAGAGAUGGACCUCGGAGAAGAGAAACCUUGAAACCAGGAGAUCUGCCCCCUCCGCCUGAACCCCCUCCCGGAGAAGGCUGUCAGGUGGACCUGGCAGCCAUGUCGAAGGCCAGAACGCAGCCACCUAGCCGAGAAUGGAGGGCAGAUCAGAGAACACAGAGCCAGUGGAGCACAGAAGGUCUGAAAACCUACUACACACUCACAAAUAGGAUGAGGAGCUUAUCCAUUACAGUGUGAAUAUGCAGUCCAGGAAUCACAUGUCCAGUCGGUAUUCUCCUCCUGAACCUUCCAGCUCUUGCUCUCAUCCCUCCACAGCUUCCCACACCAGGAGGAAAAAAGAGAACGUGUGAGUGGAAGAUGAUGAUGAAUUUCUUCUCAGUGUCCUGCUGUGCCAUGUGAUCCGACAAACUUUUAUUGCAAAUGAUGUCCAGUAGAACACAAGAGCCAUACAAGUGUAUAUGAUUCCCAUCCACCUCCUUAAGCUAUUUAUUUAUUUAUUUAUUAUUUAUUUUAUUUAUUCUGUUGUUAUUUUUGUAUGAUUCCUUGCUAUGUUGAACCCCUGCUUUUAUGCAUACAAUAUUUUUGACUGUGCUUUGUGUGAGUGAACAACAAAAUGUUUCUGAAUGUAUUUUUUUCUAUUUACCUUGAUACCUCGAUGUUUACAUUUAAUUCCAUGCUGUUUAUGUUGUGUAAUACUAGAGUCUCUGCAUCUAAACCCAUAACAGUUUUAUGGUAGAAUAGUACAGCAGUUUAAGGUCCAGCAUCACUGCUUCAAUUCUGUCCACACUGCAAAACUGUCAUCUGCUCCAGAGAGAUGAGUCUUGCCUGCUGAGCUGUGCUGCUGACAUACACAUUAAGAAAUCGUGCAAGCUAAAGUGCUAAUGUUACAAACACUGAAUGGAAGUAAGCAGGGCAUAUUAAUAUUAUACAAAUGAGAUGACCAUGUUGACCGCAUUAAAAUUGUUUAUGUCCUCUGUCGUAUUUUGGAUUGUGCAAGAAAACACAAUAAAGCAAAUGCUGAAAUACAUUUUUUUAAAUAAUAAAAUGAUGCAGUUUGUCUGGAAGCUUUUUUUUUAUUAACGGGUUGGGAUGAUUGAACUAUGACAAGUAAACUACACUGAGCUCUGUUUCCAUUCCAGUGCAGUGUAAUG